rnacentral:rRNA from 1 species
ACGUAGGUGGCAAGCGUUGUCCGGAUUUACUGGGCGUAAAGAGCGCGCAGGCGGUCGAGUAAGUCGAAUGUGAAAGCCCCUGGCUCAACCAGGGAGGGUCAUUCGAUACUGUCCGACUCGAAGGCAGGAGAGGGAAGCGGAAUUCCGGGUGUAGUGGUGAAAUGCGUAGAUAUCCGGAGGAACACCAGUGGCGAAGGCGGCUUUCUGGCCUGUUCUUGACGCUGAGGCGCGAAAGCUAGGGGAGCAAACGGG